AGAAUCAACGCUGGCGGCGUGCCUAACACAUGCAAGUCGAACGAGAAAGUGGAGCAAUCCAUGAGUAAAGUGGCGCACGAGUGAGUAACACGUGACUAACCUACCUUUUAGUGGGGGAUAACCUAGGGAACCUGGGCUAAUACCGCAUAACACUUACGAGUCAAAGCAGCAAUGCGCUGGAAGAGGGGGUCGCGGCCGAUUAGCUAGUUGGCGGGGUAAUGGCCCACCAAGGCAGUGAUCGGUA
rnacentral:rRNA from 1 species